GAUGAAGAACGCAGUGAAAUGCGAUAAGUAGUGUGAAUUGCAGAAUUCAGUGAAUCAUCGAAUCUUUGAACGCACAUUGCGCCCCUCGGUAUUCCGUGGGGCAUGCCUGUUCGAGCGUCAUUUACCCCUCAAGCACUGCUUGGUGUUGGGCGUCUGUCCCGCUUCGCGCGCGGACUCGCCCCGAAGGUAUUGGCAGUGGUCGUGCCAGCUUCUCUCGCAGCACAUUGCGCUUCUCGAGGCGGUCGAUCGGCGUCCACGAAGCUCACCUCCACCGUUUGACCUCGGAUCAGGUAGGGAUACCCGCUGAACUUAAGCAUAUCAAUAAGCGGAGGA
rnacentral:misc_RNA from 1 species